CCUACGGGAGGCAGCAGUAGGGAAUCUUCCACAAUGGACGAAAGUCUGAUGGAGCAACGCCGCGUGAGUGAAGAAGGGUUUCGGCUCGUAAAGCUCUGUUGGUAGUGAAGACAGAUAGAGGUAGUAACUGGCCUUUAUUUGACGGUAAUUACUUAGAAAGUCACGGCUAACUACGUGCCAGCAGCCGCGGUAAUACGUAGGUGGCAAGCGUUGUCCGGAUUUAUUGGGCGUAAAGCGAGUGCAGGCGGUUCAAUAAGUCUGAUGUGAAAGCCUUCGGCUCAACCGGAGAAUUGCAUCAGAAACGGGUGAACUUGAGUGCAGAAGAGGAGAGUGGAACUCCAUGUGUAGCAGUGGAAUGCGUAGAUAUAUGGAAGAACACCAGUGGCGAAGGCGGCUUUCUGGUCUGCAACUGACGCUGAGGCUCGAAAGCAUGGGUAGCGAACAGGAUUAGAUACCCCUGUAGUC
rnacentral:rRNA from 1 species